rnacentral:lncRNA from 1 species
GGUAAAAGAUGAAAAGUCUACAUUUAACAUAAGACACAACUACUUUUUUCAUAAGAAAUGUCUACCAUUAAGAUAAGAGAAAUCAAAGAAAAGUAGACUUUCUGGAAAUCUAAAUUGUUCUUAAGAUUGAAGCAACCCAAAGUAAAAUAUGCAAAAUCUACAUUUAACAUAAGACACAACUAUUUUUUCAUAAAAAAUGGCUACCAUUAACACAAGAGAAAUCAAAGAAAAAUAGACUUUCUGGAAAUCUAAAUUGUUCUUGAGAUUGAAGCAAAUUAACCAAGGUAAAAAAUGCAAAGUCUACAUUUAACAUAAGACACAACAACUUUUUUUAUAAAAAAUGGCUACCAUUAACAUAAGAGAAAUUAAAGAAAAGUAGACUUUCUGGAAAUCUAAAUUGUUCUUGAGAUUGAAGCAAACCAAGGUAAAAGAUGAAAAGUCUACAUUUAACAUAAGACACGACUGCUGUUUUCAUGAGAAAUGUCUACCAUUUAUAUGGGCAAAAUCACAAAAAUGUAGACAUUCUGGAAAUCAAAAUUGUUCUUGAGAUUGAAUCAAUGAAUAUUCACAAAAUGAAAAUUGACCGUCUGAUGUGAUCAUUAUAGUGAAACAUGGCUAUGGUAUAAAAUUCAACUGGAUUCAACAAUGUUCGGUGCUCAAUCAAAGCGGUCAACCCUAAUUCAUCUUCACUUAUCACACGAAAAAUAUCUUACCUACCUCUUCGUGACCUAGUUUGGUGGAUUCUUCAACACAAUAAAGUGUCACAUAGAUGAGACAUAACCACCCAUGUAAAACUUUGGGGACGUUUACCACCCGAGGAUAGGGCUCUCCUUAUUGAAGCAUAAGCGUAAAUAGGGUUGACCGCUUCGAUCGGGGCCCAAACAUUGACGAAUUAAAGUGAUUUUCCUACCGUAGCCGUAUUUUACUAUAUCGACCACAUCCUAUUUCAUGAGCUUUUUUAAAAUUUUGCUUCCUCUAUAUAGUGGGCUCACAAAGUUGUACACUAGCAUAUAACCUACCAAACAAGUUAUACCACAUUAGUAAACACGUUAUAAUUCCGAUGACUAAAAUUCACAAAAUAAAAAUUGACUGUAUGAUGUGAUCAUUACAGUGAAACAAUGCUAUGGUAUAAAAUUCAACUAGAUUCAACAAUGUUUGGGGCUCAAUCAAAGCGGUCAACCCUAAUUCAUUUUCACUUCUCACACGAAAUCUAUCUUACCUACCUCUUCGUGACCUAUUUUGGUAGAUUCUUCAACAUAAUAAAGUGUCACAUAGAUGAGACAUAACCACCCAUGUAAAACUUUGGGGCCGUUUACCACCCAAGGAUAGGGCUCUCCUUAGUGAAGCAUAAACGUAAAUAAGGUUGACCGCUUCGAUCGGGGCCCAAACAUUGGCGAAUUAAAGUGAUUUUUUCACCGUAGUUGUAUUUUACUAUAUCGAUCACAUCAUAUUUCACGAGAUUUUUGAAAAUUUUGCUUUCUCUAUAUAGUUGGUUCACAAAGUUGUACACUAGCAUAUAACCUAUCAAACAAGUUAUAUUACUUUAGUAGGCAUGUUAU